UAGCACAGUUGGUGGGUAAGGUAUUUA
rnacentral:piRNA from 1 species